GACGAACGCUGGCGGCGUGCUUAACACAUGCAAGUCGAACAGAAAGGCCCUGCUUUUGUGGGGUGCUCGAGUGGCGAACGGGUGAGUAACACGUGAGUAACCUGCCCUUGACUUUGGGAUAACUUCAGGAAACUGGGGCUAAUACCGGAUAGGAGCUCCUGCUGCAUGGUGGGGGUUGGAAAGUUUCGGCGGUUGGGGAUGGACUCGCGGCUUAUCAGCUUGUUGGUGGGGUAGUGGCUUACCAAGGCUUUGACGGGUAGCCGGCCUGAGAGGGUGACCGGCCACGUUGGGACUGAGAUGCGGCCCAGACUCCUACGGGAGGCAGCAGUGGGGAAUAUUGCACAAUGGGCGGAAGCCUGAUGCAGCAACGCCGCGUGCGGGAUGACGGCCUUCGGGUUGUAAACCGCUUUCGCCUGAGACGAAGCGUGAGUGACGGUAAUGGGUAAAGAAGCACCGGCUAACUACGUG
rnacentral:rRNA from 1 species